rnacentral:rRNA from 1 species
CCGCACGGGUGAGUAACGCGUAUGCAACUUACCUAUCAGGAGGGGAUAACCCGGCGAAAGUCGGACUAAUACCGCAUGAAGCAGGGGCCCCGCAUGGGGAUAUUUGCUAAAGAUUCAUCGCUGAUAGAUAGGCAUGCGUUCCAUUAGGCAGUUGGCGGGGUAACGGCCCACCAAACCGACGAUGGAUAGGGGUUCUGAGAGGAAGGUCCCCCACAUUGGUACUGAGACACGGCCCAG